rnacentral:rRNA from 1 species
AGUUUGAUCCUGGCUCAGAACGAACGCUGGCGGCAUGCCUAACACAUGCAAGUCGAACGAGACCUUCGGGUCUAGUGGCGCACGGGUGCGUAACGCGUGGGAAUCUGCCCUUAGGUUCGGAAUAACUUCGGGAAACUGAAGCUAAUACCGGAUGAUGACGUAAGUCCAAAGAUUUAUCGCCUAAGGAUGAGCCCGCGUUGGAUUAGCUAGUUGGUGAGGUAAAAGGCUCACCAAGGCGACGAUCCAUAGCUGGUCUGAGAGGAUGAUCAGCCACACUGGGACUGAGACACGGCCCAGACUCCUACGGGAGGCAGCAGUGGGGAAUAUUGGACAAUGGGCGAAAGCCUGAUCCAGCAAUGCCGCGUGAGUGAUGAAGGCCUUAGGGUUGUAAAGCUCUUUUACCCGGGAUGAUAAUGACAGUACCGGGAGAAUAAGCCCCGGCUAACUCCGUG